CAAGGAACAGAGAGGAAACUCCAGACUGUCCCUGGAGUUUCAGGGGGCGUGGCCACUAGCUGCUGGCUCAGGGCGUGGCCACUAGCUGCUGGUUCAGGGCCACUAGCUGCUGGUUCAGGGCCACUAGCUGCUGGUUCAGGGCAUGGCCACUAGCUGCUGGUGCUUUGGGGAUGUGGAGAACCUUUAAGAUUGUGGUCCCUCCUUGGGGUGUGAUAGGUCUAUGGAGUGCGCUCUUGGGGAGACUAUAGGAAUCCUAGUGCCUUCCUCGCUGUUUUGGCUGUCACAAGGAGAGCAUCCUUCAUCACCACAUGCUUCUACCUGAAUGUGCUAUGCAGCCCAUGCCUGGAGCAACACAGUCAAACAGCCAUGGACUGACACCUCCAAAACUGUUACUCUCAAGAAUACUGGAAGGAGGGGCACAUUCCAGCCUCCUACCAUGGUCCUGAGACUGGUCCUACAGAACUGCACCUUGCGAUUUUCUUCCCCCUGGUCGUCUGUGCUGCAGACCAUACUAACAUGAAACCAAGGCUGCCAGCUGUCUGAAUAAAGGACAUCGUUAGCAUUCAACCGCUCUGGCUGCUCAUUGGCUUCUGUGACAGGCUGCACGGACAGAAUUUUGGUUUCAAAGUCACAUCGAAUCCCUAUCAGAUGAUGAGGAUACCAAAGAAGCAGUUAAUCCUGUGUAGCCAUGACGUGCUGAUAAUUAUUUACAAAGGACAAGAUGUGGAAUCAACCUUCAAAU
rnacentral:lncRNA from 1 species